rnacentral:ncRNA from 1 species
AUCCCUUAAAGUUUGUCGUAGUCCGGAUUGGAGUCUGCAACUCGACUCCAUGAAGUCGGAAUCGCUAGUAAUCGUGGAUCAGAAUGCCACGGUGAAUACGUUCCCGGGCCUUGUACACACCGCCCGUCACACCAUGGGAGUGGGCUGCACCAGAAGUAGAUAGCUUAACCUUCGGGAGGGCGUUUACCACGGUGUGGUUCAUGACUGGGGUGAAGUCGUAACAAGGUAGCCCUAGGGGAACCUGGGGCUGGAUCACCUCCUUA